GGCCGUGUGGCUCAGUUGGUAGAGCAUGGUGUUUGCAACGCCAGGGUUGUGGGUUCGAUUCCCACUGGGGACC
rfam:Salmo salar isolate Sally breed double haploid chromosome ssa07, whole genome shotgun sequence.